rnacentral:rRNA from 1 species
GACGAACGCUGGCGGCGUGCUUAACACAUGCAAGUCGAACGGAAAGGCCCUGCUUUUGUGGGGUGCUCGAGUGGCGAACGGGUGAGUAACACGUGAGUAACCUGCCCUUGACUUUGGGAUAACUUCAGGAAACUGGGGCUAAUACCGGAUAGGAGCUCCUGCUGCAUGGUGGGGGUUGGAAAGUUUCGGCGGUUGGGGAUGGACUCGCGGCUUAUCAGCUUGUUGGUGGGGUAGUGGCUUACCAAGGCUUUGACGGGUAGCCGGCCUGAGAGGGUGACCGGCCACAUGGGGAAGGAGAAAGGCCAAAGAGUCGUAGGGGGGAAAGCGGGGGGAAAUAUGGCACAGGGGGCGGAAGCCGGAGGCAGCAACGCCGGGGGGGGGAUGGCGGCCUGGGGGUUGAAAACCGCUUCCGCCUGUGAAGAAGGGGGGGUGACGGUAAUGGAAAAAGAAGAACCGGCUAAAUACGUG